rnacentral:rRNA from 1 species
UACAGAGGGGGCCAGCGUUAUUCGGAAUUAUUGGGCGUAAAGGGCGCGUAGGCGGCCAUGCGUGUCUUCCGUGAAAUCCCUCGGCUCAACCGAGGACGUGCGGAAGAAACUGCAAGGCUCGAGUCCGGAAGAGGGGGGCGGAAUUCCCAGUGUAGCGGUGAAAUGCGUAGAUAUUGGGAGGAACACCAGUGGCGAAGGCGGUCCCCUGGGCCGGAACUGACGCUGAGGCGCGAAAGCUAGGGGAGCGAACGGG